rnacentral:rRNA from 1 species
GGUUAAGCGACUAAGCGUACACGGUGGAUGCCCUGGCAGUCAGAGGCGAUGAAGGACGUGCUAAUCUGCGAAAAGCGUCGGUAAGGUGAUAUGAACCGUUAUAGCCGGCGAUGUCCGAAUGGGGAAACCCAGUGCAAUUCGUUGCACUAUCGUUUGAUGAAUACAUAGUCAAACGAGGCGAACCGGGGGAACUGAAACAUCUAAGUACCCCGAGGAAAAGAAAUCAACCGAGAUUCCCCCAGUAGCGGCGAGCGAACGGGGAGCAGCCCGGAGUCUGAAUCAGCUUGUGUGUUAGUGGAAGCGUCUGGAAAGUCGCAGGGUACAGGGUGAUACUCCCGUACACUAAAACACACAGGUUGUGAACUCGAAGAGUAGGGCGGGACACGUGGUAUCCUGUCUGAAUAUGGGGGGACCAUCCUCCAAGGCUAAAUACUCCUGACUGACCGAUAGUGAACCAGUACCGUGAGGGAAAGGCGAAAAGAACCCCGGCGAGGGGAGUGAAAAAGAACCUGAAACCGUGUACGUACAAGCAGUAGGAGCCCACUUGUUGGGUGACUGCGUACCUUUUGUAUAAUGGGUCAGCGACUUAUAUUCUGUAGCAAGGUUAACCGUAUAGGGGAGCCGCAGGGAAACCGAGUCUUAACUGGGCGUUAAGUUGCAGGGUAUAGACCCGAAACCCGGUGAUCUAGCCAUGGGCAGGUUGAAGGUUGGGUAACACUAACUGGAGGACCGAACCGACUAAUGUUGAAAAAUUAGCGGAUGACUUGUGGCUGGGGGUGAAAGGCCAAUCAAACCGGGAGAUAGCUGGUUCUCCCCGAAAGCUAUUUAGGUAGCGCCUCGUGAACUCAUCUUCGGGGGUAGAGCACUGUUUCGGCUAGGGGGUCAUCCCGACUUACCAACCCGAUGCAAACUACGAAUACCGAAGAAUGUUAUCACGGGAGACACACGGCGGGUGCUAACGUCCGUCGUGAAGAGGGAAACAACCCAGACCGCCAGCUAAGGUCCCAAAGUCAUGGUUAAGUGGGAAACGAUGUGGGAAGGCCCAGACAGCCAGGAUGUUGGCUUAGAAGCAGCCAUCAUUUAAAGAAAGCGUAAUAGCUCACUGGUCGAGUCGGCCUGCGCGGAAGAUGUAACGGGGCUAAACCAUGCACCGAAGCUGCGGCAGCGAC